rnacentral:lncRNA from 1 species
AGCGGGACAGACGGACGGACGGACGAACGGACGGACGAACGGUCGCACGGACGAACGGACGAACGGACGCACAGACCAGAAAACAUAAUGCCCCUCUACUAUCGUAGGUGGGGCAUAACAAAUUGCUGUUCCAAUCCAUAAAUAUAUGUUUGAAUAUAACCAUGAUAACGACACAAUAAACAAUUACCUUUGUAAACAUGGUAGCUGAUAAAAAAUUAACAAACAAC